CCAUCAUAUCUGCUCAUGGCUGCAGGCUUUUUUCAAAAAGACGUGUUAAACAAGAUGAGGACUACAACAGAUUCCCAAAAGGAGGUGUUGAACAAAACAAUUCUGUGACUCUACCUAUCAGAACCAACAACAACAUGAACAGCAAGAAACUUAUGGAAAAAUAGCUGGAUUUUAGGCAUAUGCUAUGCAACUUGUCUAUCGGGUGGCCUUACCCUUUUCUGGAUCUUGUUACUCCUUCCUAGGGCGCGCCUCUGGUACUUUGGCAUGGCACUGAUACAUGUCCCAUUAUACGGAUUAUAUUGGUUGAUAGUAAGAGCAAAGAACACGAUUUGGCCAAAAUUCUUUCCAGCUGCUUACUCAAG